UAAUGGUAUCAGCCAACGAUCCUCUGGUCUAAUCCUCCUUCCACGCCUCUGUAUUCUGCACCCGUAAUUUGCCUGCCGUCAUCUUCUACCCUCACAAAAAACUGACCACUUUAUCUUCCUCAAAAUCCGACACCACCCUUCCCAUGGCUACCCUCUUGCAUAUGCUUACAAUCAAGUUAUCCUCUUCAAACUAUCUACUCUGGAAACAUCAGAUCAAGCCCCUCCUCUCUCAUUAGCAAUUAUUCCUCGUGGAUUGAAGCAAAUCAACGGGUCUUUGUUCUCUUGCAAUCCUCACUUACAGAAGAAACCAUGGCUGAAGUGUUAGGGCACUCGAUCUCCCGACAAUUGUGGUUGGCUCUAGAGUUUGCCUAUUCUCGUGACUCUCAAGAGCGCGCUCAAAAUUUAGGAGACUUUUUGCGUCAACUUCGUAAAAGUACCUCUAAUGUGGCUGAAUUUGGUACAAAAAAUUAAAGCAAUUUGCGAUCAAUUGGCAGCUAUUCGACAUCCAGUUUCUGAUAUGGACAAAUCACAUUGGUUCUUAUGUGGUUUGGGUUCCGCUUUCGAAACCUUCUCUAUUGCUCAACGUACAAUUCAUCCUCAGCUGACUUUUCGUGAUCUUCUUUCCAAAGCCGAAAGCCAUGAGUUGUUCUUGGCAUCUCUACAUGGAUCUUCUCAGCCACAAGUGGCUUUCUCUGCCCGACAACAACCUUCUCAAAACACCCGAUAUCAAUCCUACCAUGGUAGAGGACGCUCAAGUCGGUCCUCUAGAUCAAGUUUUUCAGGGAAUCAUGGUCGUGGAAAACGACCACCUCAAUGUCAACCAUGUAGACAUGAUGGUCAUUAUGCACCAGCACGUCCGACUACCUCCUCAUUCGCUCAGAAUUCGUCAUAAAAUGUUGCCCAUUUAGCCCAUUCUUUCAAUGAAAAUUGCAACAUUGACCAAAUCCCAGAUUGGUGUGCAGAUUCGGGUGCUACAUCUCAUAUGGCUCCCACCACCGGUUCUCUACAAUCGUCUCAACCGUAUAUGGGAGCCCGGAAGGUUGCAAUGGACCGGGAGACAAAGAAAAUUAUGGCAAAAAGGAGACAUGAGAAUGGGCUUUACAUUUUGAGUCCAAGUUUGCAAGCGAAUAUGGCCUCUACUGUUGCUACACCACCUGGAGCAUAUUUUGAAGUUUGGCAUAUUAGAUUAGGCCAUGCAUCUUUUAAUGUUAUUUCAUUGUUAAAUAAGAAGUACGGUUGUUUAAGAGGACCGGCACCCAUCACCACUAUAGAUUGUUAUCGAUACUAUGCUUUAUUCAUUGAUGAUUUUCCUGAUUUACUUCGCUUUAUCCACUAAAACCAAGUAUGGCUUUUUGAAACCCUUAAAGCAUUUCUUGCAUUUGUACAGACGCAGUUUAAUACAAAAGUCAAGGUUUUUCAAAGCGAUGGUCGAACCGAGUUCGUUAAAAGACGAGUGAAAGGCUUAUUCUUGGAAAAUGGGACCUUGCAUAAACUAGCUUGUCCCUACACGCCCGAACAAAACGGCGGGCCGAAAGAAAGCAUCACCACAUAAUGAAACAGGGCUUGCAAUGUUAUUUGGAGCACAUGCCGGCUACUCUUUGGGUUGAUGCAUUUGCAUCAACGGCUCAUGUUAUUAAUCUUUUUCCACAAUUAUCUAGCUUUUAUAUCAUAACACACCACAGUGUGCGAACCUUCACGCAUUCGGUUGUAGAGUGUAUCCAUGUUUACGAGAUUAUUCAUCUCACAAGUUGGAGCCACGAAGUAUUCCGUGCAUUUUCAUUGCCUAUAGUGCUCAUUACAAAGGCUAUUGGUAGCUCGAUCCUCUGUCUUCUCAGAUAUAUAUUACUCGACAUGCUCGGUUCAAUGAAACAGUAUUAACAUUUAUGGGUCAACAGUCCACCAUAAACCUUUCCAUCUUAUUUCCUUCCACCUAUUUGGAAGAAAAUUCAUUACCUCUCACUACACCUACACCUACACCUACUGCUAACCCACCAAUUUUACCUUCCAUCCCUACACCUACCAAUACAUCCACUUGCCAUUUUUGUCCUCACAUGAACCCACCUUCCCACUCUCACGAUUAUAUACAAUCCCACCCUCAAAACAACCAACCUACAUCUACUAUUACAUGGAAUGGAUCACGGAUCAUCCUUAUGGUUACUAAUGAUGUGGAUGUGUAUGGUGACUGCAGGUUACAUGGAAUGGAUCACGGAUCAUCCUUAUGGAAUGUAAAGUGAUGAAGAUCGAGUCAGAGCAUGGGUUGUACGGGAGUAAGGUCUUGUAGUUUUGUAAUUCUAUGUUAUAUUAGAACUCCAAAUUAAGAAAGGAAAGAUGUAAUUGUUAUAAAGAGUUGUUUUAAACGGUUUUCAAUCAUGUUAGAAGGUUAAUAAAUAAGGAAAUAUUUGAGUUUGCAUUUC